ensembl:lncRNA
CCACAGUAGAGUCCACUAGAGACAACAUCUACUCAGAGACCACAGUAGAGUCCACUAGAGACAACAUCUACUCAGAGACCACAGAAGAGUUCACUAGAGACAACAUCUACUCAGAGACCACAGGAGCAGAUAUCAACACAGCCUUUUCCACCCACAGUACCCCUGCUCAGCCAGAGACCCACAGUACCCCUGCUCAGCCAGAGACCCACUUUACCCCUGCACUGAGUGUCUUUGAGGACAGACUGAGGAAAAUAGACAGUCUGUACUGUCCCGCAACAGACCAGCAAAGUUGGAAGGACCAAGAGGAUGGCUAUCAGGUGAUGAACAGCAACACAGGGCCUCUAAGGGGCCUCACCUCUCCCCCAGAGACCCACCAAUCCCCCUGCCUGGUCUUAAAAGAGCCCAGCAGCCCAGCCCUCUGCCUGGGGGGCACCAUGAGCCUAGGGGGCACCUCAGUCAACAGCAGCCCUAAGGUUAGGCUGGGGGGCCAGGGGGUUCGCCUGGGGAACCAGGGGGGAAUGGUCUACCUAGGGGGCACUGUCAAGAACAGCCCUACCCUCAGCCUUGGAGGCAGUGUGGACCUGGGGGGUACUGUCAACCUCAUCCUCAGCUUGGGGAACCAAGGAGACAGUCAUGUGGAGGUGAUGGAGGCUAAUCUUAGGGUGGGUGAGGAGGAGAGCACAGAGCCUGUCCACAGGGACAACAACAUGACAUCAGCUCCUGCAUACGAGAGUAUGUUACUGCCCCGCCUCCACACCAAGACCUCCUCCUCUUCAUCCCCCUCCUCCUCCAGGGCUCCUCAAUCUUGCGUCUCUUUCCCCUCCUCCCUGCCCAAGAACACCUCCAUCUUUUCUAGUCUAAAGAUAAGGAGCAAGAAGAGGAGAAGGAAGAGAGACGCUGGCCGCCACACCAUUCAGAAAAUCAUGGUUGUAGAGGGGGAGGAGCAGACAGAGGUGGCAUGUCCUGCUGAAGCUGCACCCCAGCAAAUCACGCUGUACGACACCCAGACCUGGCCAAUGAAGGAGGGCCGGAGGAAGAAGAAGAGCCUAUUAAAGGCCGACGGGGUGGGCCCAGGGCAGGGGGUGGAACUCGUGGACUACAUGGAUAACCCAUUGGCCAGGGAUAUUGAAGAUGAAUGUUCUGGGGUGUCCACUGUCAGCCCCUAUGCAGUGACAGAGGCAGUCUCUAUAGCUCCACCCAGGGGCCAGGUGAGGAGCCACUGCAGGUUCCUGUCUCUGGGGUCUGUUUUGACCUUCGACCUCUCCAAAGACAUGAGGUUGAUCCCCAGUAUACAGGAUGUCAUCACUAUAGGACUCCCAGAACACAGGGGAACCUCCAACCCAAACCUCAAUCCCAACCCUCACACAGAGACACAUGCAGCCCUCAGCUCUUUCAAACAUACCCGCUCCCCUCCCUCAGACACGCACAGAGCACCAGAUAAUGAGGCCGUCACUACUUACAGAUAUGAAACAAUGACACAGAUUCAGACACAGCCACUACUGACACUGACACAGCCACUACUGACACAGACACAACCACUACCGACACAGACACAACCACUACUGACAAAGAUACAGACACAGACACAACCAUUACUGACACAGACACAGCCACUACUGAGACAGACACCGACACAAAUACUAAAACAGACAAAGCCACUGACACAGGCUAUUCAGCUGGAGCCUCUGUCUAAUCUAGAUACAGAUUUUCCUCCUCCUCCUCCUCCUGCCCUGGAUGAGGACUGGGAUCAGAACGUAUCAAGCAAUGACCUAUCCCUAACACAGAUCCAGACCGUACUCCAGGAGCCUGAGCAGGAGUGGUCGGAGCUCAUCUUCAGCAAGCAACCACCAAUCACAGCUUAUUGCCCAAAGAGUCCCACUCCAAUGAACCGAGACCAUUACAAUUACAUGGAAAUGACCAUGGUUAGUAGAAGUCCCAUUGUAAAGAGCAAGGACCCCUGUCCCUCCUCAGCCUAUCAGAACCAUGAGAGCAAGGACCCCUGUCCCUCCUCAGCCUAUCAGAACCAUGAGAGCAAGGACCCCUGUCCCUCCUCAGCCUAUCAGAACCAUGAGCGCAAGGACCCCUGUCCAUCCUCAGCCUAUAAGAACCAUGAGAGCAAGGACCCCUGUCCAUCCUCAGCCUAUCAGAACCAUGAGAGCAAGGACCACUGUCCCUCCUCAGCCUAUCAGAACCAUGAGCACAAGGACCCCUGUCCAUCCUCAGCCUAUCAGAACCACGAGUGCCUCAUUCAGGACCUCAAUGGACACCAGUACCAUCAUAGGUUGAAGACCCAUAGAGAGAGUGUUGACCUCCAGGAGACCAGCCAGGCUUCUCAGAUGGUUGUGAAUCUGAAGGUCAGUGGGUUAGGGAGUAUGAUGCAAGACUCAAUGGACUCUGGCAUCUCUGGUGUCACCAACUCUGGGAGCUUGAAGCUCAAUGCACCUGAUGUUCUCCAAGAGCCCCAGCCCAUGAGGACUGUGGUGGGGAGGCUAGUGUCUCUGGAGGAGGGGCGUAUGGAGGAUGUGUCCACACCCAGGGGAAAUCCCACAGCAACCCCAGCUCCUGCCCACCCAGAGACAAAAACAACACCCAGAAACAGACACCACCAGACAGAGACAGAACUCGACUCUGAUCCGGUCGACCCCGACCUCACCAUCCAUCCAGACCACCAGCAGUUUGAGGAGGUAGAGGAGGAGCUGGAGGACAUCUGGAACCAUAGCAAUGGCUACAGACAGAGUAUCUCCUCUGACAUCAUGUACCAGCCACACCAAGAGGAGGAGGAGGGGGGAAGUAGCAACACCCCAGGACUGACCACAGACCCCCUCUCACCCCCCCAGGCCCAGCCCCAGGCUACCCCCUACAGAAAGCUGAUAACAACUUCUGCCCCUAACCUUCUGGUGGCUGAAUUCACACUCCCCUCAUCCCUCCAAACCCUACUGGGGUACAACCAGCACCAGAACCAAGACCAGGGCUUUAGCCAAGACCCUAACUCCAGAGAAGAGCUCCCUAUGCUGGCUAACAGAGACAUGAGGUCCUGGGCAGCUUUCCCUAGUCAGGACCAACCCUGGAGGACAACAGCACUGGUCAAUGAAACGGCAGCAGAACCAGUCAAGCUACCGGAAAUGGAGGACCAGAAGAGAUAUAUCUACCAGUAUAGAGAGGAGGAGGAAGAGGAUGAGGAGGAGAAGAUGGAGGACACAGGUUGUCCAAAGGACCCAUCAAUGAGUCUGCUGUCUGUCCACAUGGGUCUGCACGGAAACAAUCAGCGAGCUACAAGUUGUGGCACUCUGGAAGGUGUGAUGGAAAAGCAUGGAGAGAGUCUGGCCACAGGGGGGCGAUGUGGCACUAUGAAUGGGAGUGGGUCUGAGCUGCAGACGAUGGAGGGAACUCUGGAGAGGAAACACAAGCUGCAGCUGGGAGGGAAGAAGAACUGUGUGUGUGGCCUGUCUCUAACCCUGACGGGUGCAGAAUGUGUCUCAGCCCCAGAGAACACUAAGAAACCACAGUGUUUCAGUCUGCGCUUAAGAGACGGCUCAGAGUACCUCCUCAACCCAGCAAACCGAUUCAUGAUGAAGAAAUGGAUGCUGAAAAUACAAGCCAACAGUGUGUCCAGUGAGCAUGUCUCCUCCAUGACGUCACCCAGCGACCUCUUGGUUCAGGACCCCCCCGCCCCCUUCACCACCUCUUUCCUCUCACAAAGUACCAGCACAGGGACGGACAGAGCCAAGGAGAUAGUUGUCCUGACCAGAGAGACCAGAGAGACUCACCGUCAGAUCCCUCAGUUGCACCCAGAGAAACAGCAGGACCCAACAUCCUCAUCACAUACAGGCCGUCGUGGUAAAGGCCGUCGUGAAGAUAACUAUGACUCCCAGAGACAGAAACUGUGUGGUAGAUACAGGGAGAACAGCCCUUCCUCCUUGCACUCCUCCAUCUCUCCUUUCUCCCUCCACAACUCCUCCUCCAUCCCUCCAUUCUCCCUCCACUCCUCUGUCUCUCCUCCUUUCUCCUCUGUCUAUAGAGGUGGUCAGGACUGGCUCAGUCAAGUGAACAAGUGUCACUCAUUUACCUCAGCAAGGUACCAGAAUAUUAAACCAGCGUUGCUGCCCCCAGGAGGCAGAGGCCGGGACUACGGAUCAGUGGGUCUGGACUGUGGGUCAAACUACUCCGUGACUAUGAUUAUAGGAGACAAGCAGUCUGCCGCUUCUCCCACUCUCAGUUGUGAUGGUAGUGGUCCAUCUAUCACCAGUCACACUGACCCACAGCGCCCCCUCCUGGAUGGAUGGCAGCACCACUCAUUUCACCAGGAAUCUACUACAAGAAGGCAGCUUCACCAGCACCAAGCAAUGUACCACCACGACCAGGAACCAUCUCUGAGGUCCUGCACCGGUCUGCCUCCGCCACGCAAGAAGUCUGUCUUCAACAAGUUCUUUGGAAAGAAAGACUGAAGCUGUUAUCAAUCAAUCACAUAUUUCUCUUACCUUUCUUUUGGUAUUUUCUUAAAACUGCAUCAUCGUUGGUUAAGGGCUUGUAAGAAAGCAUUUCACUGUUGUAUUCGGCGCAUGUGAGAAAUAAAAUUUGAUUUGAUAUUUAUGAAGUCCUUUUUUACUUUUACAGUCCUUUCUUGCCCGACAGCUGAGUUAUAACGGACUGAAGUUAACAUCAUAGCAGCACGUCUGGACUCUGACGUCUUGAGUUUGCUAUGUGAGGGCUGCUGUACUCUGUAUUUUUACUCAAUAAGGAUUGGAAACCAAGCAGGCUUUGUGUAUUAAUGUGUGGUGCUCAUUAAAUGACCCCUGCUACAUACAGUAGCUAAUCUAUUUGUGUUUCAACCAUCCGUGUGUGCUGGUAGUCCUAAGUCCUAAAAAUACAGGUAAAACAAGCUGUGUGUCCUGGAUAAUAGUGGGCCCUGAAAUGAUUGACACCCUUGAUACAUGGUUGACACCCUUGAUACAUGGUUGACACCCUUGAUACAUGGUUAACACCCUUGAUAAAUGUUUGACACCCUUGAUACAUGGUUGACACCCUUGAUACAUGGUUGACACCCUUGAUACAUGGUUGACACCCUUGAUACAUGGUUGACACCCUUGAUAAAUGGUUGACACCCUUGAUACAUGGUUGACACCCUUGAUACAUGGUUGACACCCUUGAUAAAUGGUUGACACCCUUGAUACAUGGUUGACACCCUUGAUACAUGAAUGACACCCUUGAUACAUGAAUGACACCCUUGAUACAUGAUUGACACCCUUGAUAAAGAUGAGCAAUAAUGACUGCAUAAAACAAUUAAAAUACUGAGCUAGAUUGCUAUGCUAAAAAAAGGGAUUUUUUUUUUAUACUAAUACAACUGCUCAGAUAAAGAGAUUUUGUUUAAAAACCUUAAAGUCGUCCAAAUGAUUCAUACCCGUUUUCAGUACAUUUCAACUCAAUUCAAAUUACUUUAUUGGCAUGACUUAACAAUGUACAUAUUGCCAAAACGUACAUAUUGCCUUUCAAUACCACACCUUGUGAGGAUAACCGCAAUGAGCCUUUUUCUAAAAUGCUUUAUUAGUUGGAGAACACAUUAGGAGGGAUCGUAGACCAUUGCCCUCUUCUAUUCAAACCACCAGUUUCCAAUGGGUUUUCAGUCCGGAGACUGAGAUGGCCAUUGCAAAAUGUUGAUUUUGUGGCCAAAUAACCAUUCAUUUGUGGAUUUUGAUGUGUGCAGAGGCAACCAUUUUUUUAGCUAAAAUGUCCUGGUACUGGAUAAAAGUUCAUGAUGCCGUUGACCUUAACAAGAGCCCCGGACCAGUGGAACAAAAGGCGCCCACAGCUACUGUAGAACAUGCUGGUGGAUCUGUAAUGUAAUGGGGCUAUUGACCUUCCACUGGUCCGGGGCCCUUGGUAAGGUCAACUUUACCCAGUACCAGGACAUUUUGGCCAAAACACUUUUUUGGUUACUACAUGAUUCAAUUUGUGUUAUAUCAUAGUUUUGAUGUCUUCACUAUUAUUCUACAAUGUAGAAAAUAGUAAAAAUAAAGAAAAACCCUGGAAUGAGUAGGUGUGUCCAAACUACCUUUUAGACCUUCUCCAGAUCCUUCAGGUUUCGGGGCUGUCGCUGGAGGUGUG